GACGAACGCUGGCGGCGUGCUUAACACAUGCAAGUCGAACGGAAAGGCCCUGCUUUUGUGGGGUGCUCGAGUGGCGAACGGGUGAGUAACACGUGAGUAACCUGCCCUUGACUUUGGGAUAACUUCAGGAAACUGGGGCUAAUACCGGAUAGGAGCUCCUGCUGCAUGGUGGGGGUUGGAAAGUUUCGGCGGUUGGGGAUGGACUCGCGGCUUAUCAGCUUGUUGGUGGGGUAGUGGCUUACCAAGGCUUUGACGGGUAGCCGGCCUGAGAGGGGGACCGGCCACAUUGGGACUGAGAUACGGCCCAGACUCCUACGGGAGGCAGCAGUGGGGAAUAUUGCACAAUGGGCGGGAGCCUGAUGCAGCAACGCCGCGUGCGGGAUGACGGCCUUCGGGUUGUAAACCGCUUUCGCCUGUGACGAAGCGUGAGUGACGGUAAUGGGUAAAGAAGCACCGGCUAACUACGUG
rnacentral:rRNA from 1 species